UACGAAGGGGGCUAGCGUUGCUCGGAAUCACUGGGCGUAAAGGGUGCGUAGGUGGGUCUUUAAGUCAGGGGUGAAAUCCUGGAGCUCAACUCCAGAACUGCCUUUGAUACUGAAGAUCUUGAGUUCGGGAGAGGUGAGUGGAACUGCGAGUGUAGAGGUGAAAUUCGUAGAUAUUCGCAAGAACGCCAGUGGCGAAGGCGGCUCACUGGCCCGAUACUGACGCUGAGGCACGAAAGCGUGGGGAGCAAACAGG
rnacentral:rRNA from 1 species